GCAUCAAAUCUGGUUUGUCAUA
rnacentral:miRNA from 12 species